AUUAGCAUCCAUUGGCCCCGCCUCCUCUCAACACCCAGCGACCGACAGCCCGGUGCUUCUGUCUCUGGCGUGCUGCACAGACCUCAGACCAGCCCUCAGUCGAUAGUGAUCCUGCUGCUCAGUGCGCGACUGGAUCUUCCCACAUACCAGUGCCAGCUCACCAUUCCACAUGUGCCCGAUUUUCUGUGACUGUGGGGGCUGUCUGGGAAAGCAGCGGUAGCACGACCGCCUGACUCCCUGGCGUCAACUGCCACUGCUAACGCGAAGGAACAGAGAGCGCCUUAAGCUCUGGGUGACUCUGGGAACAAUGAAAUCUCCAGCCACCAGGCACCAUCCUAAAGGGUGAGCUGCCUGACACUGUGCACCUGCAUGCUCGCGGCAAUACUCAGCUCAUUAGAGUGAAAAGCUUGAAGGUUUACAGAAAGACACUCCUGAGCACUCAAUUACAUCCACCCACUGUUCUUAAAUGGGACGUUCAUGGAGCUGUAUGAGAAGAAGCAUGUUGGUGGGAAAGAAGAGGCUCAGCCGCCCCCAUGUGGUGGCCGGUGAAAUCACAUCUGCAUUCUUCUGCUGAUUUGUUUGUAAUGCAUCUCAUACCUCUCCCAGCCUCUAGGUGGAGAUAUGCAUGCAUAUGAUUUCUGCAGGUGCUGAAUGUCUAAUUUCACAAUAAUCACACCUGAUCAUCGUAGUGUGUUUUGCAGAGACUUGAGUCUUUUUUUGUUCAUUGUGACUGGACUCUGAAUGGAAUUUUAAAUUUACUGUGUAUUCAGAUGUAGCACAUUUUUACAAUAAGUUCUUCGGGUCUCGGAUCACAGGGAUAUGCAUUUCAUUCUCUUCUUCACUGCUGGGGGGGGGGCACUGACAGAGGUGAAGAAUGCAUGAACGGAGAAGCUACUAUUAUUAAAUAAAUGUUUUAAAAUACA